GACGAACGCUGGCGGCGUGCUUAACACAUGCAAGUCGAACGGAAAGGCCCUGCUUUUGUGGGGUGCUCGAGUGGCGAACGGGUGAGUAACACGUGAGUAACCUGCCCUUGACUUUGGGAUAACUUCAGGAAACUGGGGCUAAUACCGGAUAGGAGCUCCUGCUGCAUGGUGGGGGUUGGAAAGUUUCGGCGGUUGGGGAUGGACUCGCGGCUUAUCAGCUUGUUGGUGGGGUAGUGGCUUACCAAGGCUUUGACGGGUAGCCGGCCUGAGAGGGUGACCGGCCACAUUGGGCCUGAGCUACGGCCCAGCCUCCUCCGGGAGGCAGCAGUGGGGAAUAUUGCACAAUGGGCGGAAGCCUGAUGCAGCCACGCCGCGUGCGGGAUGACGGCCUUCGGGUUGUAAACCGCUUUCGCCUGUGACGAAGCGUGAGUGACGGUAAUGGGUAAAGAAGCACCGGCUAACUACGUG
rnacentral:rRNA from 1 species